UGAAUACGAGACGCUACGGCGUCGAAGCAGUCUAUGUCAUACUUCCAAGAAAAGCUUGCACUGUCAUAAACAAAUAAUGCCUGUACCAUAACCGACACAGGUGGGUAGGUAGAGUAUACUAAGGGGCGCGAGAUAACUCUCUCUAAGGAACUCGGCAAAAUGACUCCGUAACUUCGGGAGAAGGAGUGCCUUAUUUAUAAGGUUGCAAUAACAAGAUCCAAGCAACUGUUUAUCAAAAACACAGGUCUCCGCUAAGUCGUAAGACGAUGUAUGGGGGCUGACGCCUGCCCAGUGCCAGAAGGUUAAAGAAGUUGGUUAGCAUUAGCGAAGCUGAUAACUGAAGCCCUGGUGAACGGCGGCCGUAACAAUAACGGUCCUAAGGUAGCGAAAUUCCUUGUCGGGUAAGUUCCGACCCGCACGAAAGGCGUAAUGAUUUGGAUACUGUCUCAGAGAGGGGCUCGGUGAAAUAGACUUGUCUGUGAAGAUGCGGACUACCUGCACCAGGACAGAAAGACCCUAUGAAGCUUUACUGUAACUUGAAAUUGAAAUUGGACUUUAUUUGCGCAGUAUAGGUGGGAGGCAUUGAUAAUAUUCUUGCGGGAAUGUUGGAGCCAUCAGUGAGAUACCACUCUUGUAAUGUUAGAUUUCUAACUUUGGAUCAUUAUCUGGUCAAAGGACAGUUUCAGGCGGGCAGUUUGACUGGGGCGGUCGCCUCCUAAAUGGUAACGGAGGCGCACAAAGGUUUCCUCUGAACGGGUAGAAAUCGUAUCUAGAGUGUAAAGGCAUAAGGAAGCUUGACUGUGAGACCUACAAGUCGAGCAGGGACGAAAGUCGGUCUUAGUGAUCUGACGGUGCUGAGUGGAAAGGCCGUCACUCAACGGAUAAAAGUUACUCUAGGAUAACAGGCUGAUCUCCCCCAAGAGUUCACAUCGACGGGGAGGUUUGGCACCUGGAUGUCGGCUCAUCGCAUCCUGGGGCGGUAGUACGUCCCAAGGGUUGGGCUGUUCGCCCAUGAAAGCGGUACGCGAGCUGGGUUCAGAACGUCGUGAGACAGUUCGGUCCAUAUCCGGUGUAGGCGUUAGAAUAUUGAGAGGAGCCUUCUUUAGUACGAGAGGACCGAGAAGGACAUACCUCUGGUGUACCAGUUAUCGUGCCAACGGUAAACGCUGGGUAGCUAUGUAUGGAGAGGAUAACCGCUGAAAGCAUCUAAGUGGGAAGCCCACCUCAAGAUAAGUA
rnacentral:rRNA from 1 species